GUGCUUACUUCAGCAGCACAUACACUAAAAUUCAAAUGAUACAGACGAGAUUACUAUGGCUCUGGUGCAAGGAUGACAUGUAAAUUUGUGAAAUGUUCCAUAAAAAA
ensembl:snRNA U6 U6 spliceosomal RNA